rnacentral:rRNA from 1 species
UACGUAGGGAGCGAGCGUUGUCCGGAAUUAUUGGGCGUAAAGAGCUCGUAGGCGGUUCGUCGCGUCGGCUGUGAAAUCCCGAGGCUCAACCUCGGGUCUGCAGUCGAUACGGGCGGACUGGAGUUCGGCAGGGGAGACUGGAAUUCCUGGUGUAGCGGUGAAAUGCGCAGAUAUCAGGAGGAACACCGGUGGCGAAGGCGGGUCUCUGGGCCGAUACUGACGCUGAGGAGCGAAAGCGUGGGGAGCGAACAGG